GAAAUGCGAUACUUGGUGUGAAUUGCAGAUUUGUGAAUCAUCGAAUCUUUGAACGCAAAUUGCACUCCUUGGUAUUCCGGGGAGUAUGCCUGUUUGAGGGUCGCCAAAUCAACAUCGAAAUUCAUUUGCUUUUGUAAAUGUUUAUUCGGAUUUGAGCCGUCUUUUAUUUUUUUUAAUUCAAGUGGCUUAAAAUUUACUUUUUGGUAUCGAAAAACGUUAUUUUACGAUCAAAUUGAUUAAAAAAACAAACGUUUCGAAUGCCGUCUUUUAGUGUAAUACGUUUGACCGUGUUGUUAAUCAUGGUUUCAUUCGUAUACGAUUGUUUCAAUUUUUGACCUCAAAUCAGGUAAGAACACCCGCUGAACUUAA
rnacentral:misc_RNA from 1 species